CAGAAGGUAGUUUAGUUAGAAUUUCAGCUUUGGGAGUUGAUGGCAGGGUUCAAAACCCUCUUUCUGA
rfam:Ornithorhynchus anatinus chromosome 3, whole genome shotgun sequence.